rnacentral:lncRNA from 1 species
GCUAGGGCCCAGCUUUCUGUGGGGGAGGCCUCAAUAUGGAAGUUAAACACCUCUGUUUAAUCCCUGAUCUACUUGCCCAAUCUUAAAACCUAAUUUGUGUUUUGUACCCAUAUUGUAAAAGUAGGAGCUCAGGUGUCUGAAACUAUGGAGUAAACAUUUCUGACUGUACCUAUGGAAACAGAAGAGCAAGGAGCUCCACUUCCACUUCUCUUCUCCCAGAGUUUCUUUUCAAAGCUCUUGCUGGGUUAGCAGUGAAAGGUCACAGAAAACUGAGCAGGCAUAAGUUUCACUCCAUGAUGCCAAGGAGAU